AUUGAACGCUGGCGGCAGGCCUAACACAUGCAAGUCGAGCGGAGCGGCGGACGGGUGAGUAAUGCCUAGGAAUCUGCCUGGUAGUGGGGGAUAACGUCCGGAAACGGGCGCUAAUACCGCAUACUAUCAGAUGAGCCUAGGUCUGAUUAGCUCGUUUGUGGGGUAACGGCCUACCAAGGCGGCGAUCCGUAACUGGUCUGAGAGGAUGAUCAGUCAAACUUGAACUGAGACACGGUCCAGAUCCCCACGGGAGGCAGCAGUGGGAAAUAUUGGACAAUGGGCGAAAGCCUGUUCCCGCCAUGCCGCGUGUGUGAAGAGGGUCUUCGGAUUGUAAAGCACUUUAAGUUGGGAGGCGUUACCAACAGAAUAAGCACCGGCUAACUUCGUGCCAGCAGCCGCAGUAAUAC
rnacentral:rRNA from 1 species